rnacentral:rRNA from 1 species
UACGAAGGGGGCGAGCGUUGUUCGGAAUUACUGGGCGUAAAGCGUGCGCAGGCGGUUAUGUAAGACAGAUGUGAAAUCCCCGGGCUCAACCUGGGAACUGCAUUUGUGACUGCAUAGCUAGAGUACGGUAGAGGGGGAUGGAAUUCCGCGUGUAGCAGUGAAAUGCGUAGAUAUGCGGAGGAACACCGAUGGCGAAGGCAAUCCCCUGGACCUGUACUGACGCUCAUGCACGAAAGCGUGGGGAGCAAACAGG